AUUAUUAGUUAAGGUCUUUAAACCCAAAGAAUUUGGCGGUAUCUCAUUCCAUUCAGAGGAACCUACCCCAUGAUUGAUAGUACACGAUUAACUUUACUUAAUUUAUUUGUUUGUAUAUCUCCGUUAUCAGAAAAUCUUUUUAGAGUUAUAAUUUUCUUAAUUUAUAAUUAUAAAAUAUUUCAGGUCAAGGUGCAGCUUAUAAUUAAGAGGUGGUGGGUUACAAUAGAUUUUUGUUUAUAACGGAUUUAAUAGUGAAAUACUAUUAAUGAAGGUGGAUUUGAUAGUAAUUUAAUUUAUUUAGUUUAUUUGAUAUUGGCUCUGAGGUGUGU
rnacentral:rRNA from 1 species